GGUUUUCGGACCUAGAGACCGGCGCACGGGUGCGUAACGCGUAUGCAAUCUACCUUUUACAGAGGGAUAGCCCAGAGAAAUUUGGAUUAAUACCUCAUAGUAUUACGACUCGGCAUCGAGAUGUAAUUAAAGUCACAACGGUAAAAGAUGAGCAUGCGUCCCAUUAGCUAGUUGGUAAGGUAACGGCUUACCAAGGCAACGAUGGGUAGGGGUCCUGAGAGGGAGGUCCCCCACACUGGUACUGAGACACGGACCAGACUCCUACGGUAGGCAGCAGUGAGGAAUAUUGGUCAAUGGGCGCAAGCCUGAACUAGCCAUGCCGCGUGCAGGAUGAAGCAUCUAUGGUGUGUAAACUGCUUUUGUACGAGAAGAAACACUCCUUCGUGAAGGAGCUUGACGGUAUCGUAAGAAUAAGGACCGGCUAACUCCGUGCCAGCAGCCGCGGUAAUACGGAGGGUCCAAGCGUUAUCCGGAAUCAUUGGGUUUAAAGGGUCCGUAGGCGGUUUAGUAAGUCAGUGGUGAAAGCCCAUCGCUCAACGGUGGAACGGCCAUUGAUACUGCUAGACUUGAAUUAUUAGGAAGUAACUAGAAUAUGUAGUGUAGCGGUGAAAUGCUUAGAGAUUACAUGGAAUACCAAUUGCGAAGGCAGGUUACUACUAAUGGAUUGACGCUGAUGGACGAAAGCGUGGGGAGCGAACAGGAUUAGAUACCCUGGUAGUCCACGCCGUAAACGAUGGAUACUAGCUGUUCGGAGCAAUCUGAGUGGCUAAGCGAAAGUGAUAAGUAUCCCACCU
rnacentral:rRNA from 1 species